CCCCCCCCCCCUCACUUUCUUAUGUAAUGCGUUGUCUUAUGCAUGAUGGACUGAUUCAUGCCUAAUUGCACAUAUUAUUCAAGAACUUGUAGUUUUCGGAAGUUAUAUUUGACCACAGGCAUGUACACACUGUUGGUAUUUUGUUUGUAGUUUUUGUUAGUUGAUGUAUGCAGUGGUGGUCGUCAUGUUAAGUAAAUUCUAACACUGGUAGUCUAGAAAUUUUGAUCAAAUUGGAAUUUUCAUAUGCCUAUUGAACAUUAAUAGUGAUUUUAGCAUGGCUGUUGUUCCCACUUUGUGUUAAUAUAUAACUACUCUAUGUAUGAAUGACAGGGAUUUCUAGCACUCGUUGUGAAAAAAGAGGACUUUCAUGAAUGAUUUUAGCCAUUUGUUCUUAUGAGAUGGCACUUAGUGAUGAAAUGACACCAUCCUAUGAAAGUGCGGACUUAGUGGGAAUUUUGGCACUUUCAUGUAUAGUCUGUCACCUUGUUAGCUAAUACGAGCACUUAGUGGUCUGGCACUUUCAUGUAUGAUCUGGAAUCUUGUUGCUGAAACUUGCACUUUUUAAUUGAUAUUAUCUGAACCCCCUGACCCUCUCAUGUAUGCCCUUGGGCCUUCUGAUCUGGUGAAGGAUACACCAUCGCUACCCACAUACCGGUCAUGAUUUAUGUGUAUUACAGUAUUACUGUUCAUUGUUUGCUGAUAUGUUUGGUCCGCUGGGGAUCCUGUCUAUGUUAGCUCAGUGCAGAAUUAGAUGCUUCACAUUUAAAGAUUCUGGAUAUAUCUUGUGCAACUAAUAUACUUACCUGUCAUGAAAAAUCCUUUUCUUACUUGCAUUUCCUAGUUAUUUUGUUGGAUUUUUUCACUUAUGUGUUAUGUCGAAUGCAUCAUAGAUUCAUGACCACCCUGUUUAAAUGAUGUUCUGGUAACUUUAUUUGGUAUUGAGCAAGAAACAGAGAAAUUUAGGAAAUGGAUUCAUUCUAUCCUUUUGUUAACUUUAUGUUCUUUACUUUUGAAUAUUUCGACUUAUAGUAUACAGUGUAAAUAUUGGUGAUGUCAAGACCAUAUUUGUUAGCAUAAAAAUUAGAAAGAUAAUGUAAAAGAUUAUAUGCAAUUAUGAAUUUGGUAAAUAGUGUAAACAGGAUGGGGCCCAAAAGCGCUCGAGUACACGGGCGGGAGAAAAAAAAUAGAAGCCACUAGAAGCCCACCGGCCACCGUGGCCACACGGAGAUUUUCCUUCCCUUUCUCUGUAAAAAAAAAUGGAAUUUUCCUUCCUUAUCCACACCGCCCCCUCAGCCGCAGCACUAGCAUCGACGUCGCCGCCGCUAACCCUAGCAACACCGUCGCCGACUCACCCAUCCACACCAUCCCUCCCAGCGUGACCACCCCCAUCCCCUUCAUCACCCACGCCGUCGCCUCCAUACCCCCCAUCGACGCCUCAACCCAGCGCCGCCGCUGCUGCAUCCUGUACUCACGCCGCCACCCAAUCCCCAUUGACGGCGCCCCACACCCGCACCUCCGACCGACGCCGCCGCCCAUCCACACAUCUACGCCGCAAUCGCAUCCCCCACGCAGCGCCGCCAUCCCAUCACCCGACGACAACGCCGCCCCAUCCGAUUCACCACCCACAACACUGUCCCAAUCCGCAGCAGCGACGCCUCUCCAUCCCCGCCCCCUGCUUCGCCUCGCACUGCAUCACGGCCUGACGGGACGCCUCCACAUCCCUGUCCCAAGAUCUGUUAUGUACUGUCCGUUGAAGUAGCAGCAACAGCAUCAGAGUCCUAGAUAGAGGCUGCCACUGAGCUCUGUUCUCCCUUCUUGGUCUUUAUAGGUGCUAUGUAGAGGAGUAUAUGAUUUAGUUCCAUUAAUGAUCUGGAUGAUGCAUUGGACAAGUUUGUGGUUCGUCUUGAUGGGGCUUUGGCUGACUAGCCUAAAUUGAAUUGGAUGGAUCAUGCUAGGCGCACAAAUACGUAUAUCAAAGAGGUCAAACAAUUCAGACAACUGGCAGCAAGAAUCCUGCAUGUGUUAUCGGUGAAGACUGAAGAGGUACAUUAUUGCUAUUGUUUCCUGCAAUUCUUUAACCCAUCUAAAUAUGUGUUGGCUGAUGGAACAAUAAAUUGAAUGUAGCACAAGAAGAAUGGGUAGAGAUGAAGCGUUUGUUAUAACACACACAAGUAAAAUCAGAAUUCCUUCGAACAAGGCAGUGGCACAAAAAAUUGUAUGUACUAAAUAGUACUCCCUUGGGUUAGCAUUGCCAUUUAUAGUGAAUCUUAUUUCUGUGAUUCCUCCUUGUAGAAAGAGCUGGAGGAGUUCCUUUCAGUUUAUCUUCAGCUAUGCUUAAGAGUUCGGUUUUUAGUGGGACUUGCUUGUGGUGUGGUAGCCAGGCUGUAGGUGUGCUGUUUGGUGGCUGGUAGUUAACUUCACAGUUUAGGAUAGGAUAGAAAACAGGGAUAGCUUCUGAUUUUUGAUAAUUGUGCAGAAAUAUUUUUAGCCUGUGCUCGACAAACCAAAGCAUGAUGUUUUCUAUUCCAGUUAGCAUAUAGAUUAUUUAAUUUACCAUGUUGUACACAAUUGGAAACAUACAUUUGUGACCAUAUAGGUAGGAACCUAAGAUUCAAACUAAAUAGCCUUAUACUAAAAAUCUACGAAACGCGGACACGGCUGAAACUACUGAAUCGGCGUACUAAUAUGGCCGGACACGGUCUGGUACAAAAUCUAAUUUUGCAGGCUACUCUACCGCUAAGUCCACAAAGGGACUCGACCGCCAAUGAUGCUCCUACUCCUCAAGCAGGGAGCAUGGAAUCUGGGAGCCAAGUAUCAUUGGAGAAUGGAGAUUGGGUCUAUUUUGCAUGUAGCAAUGACAUGGGUCUCGUGGCAGUAUUCUAAUCGUUGAGCACUUGAAAAGGAGACUACAAAUGGGCAGUAUUCCGAUCUCAUCCCAGUUUCUCAUUAAUUUUUGUCUUCAACUUUGUAUUACAUGGCAUCUUUUCAUUUAUUUUAUAUAUAUUUGUUGUAUCUCCAAAUGGCUGUCUUUGGAAAAUGUCGUAUCCUUUGUCCCUGUAUCCGUAUCGUCGUGUCUUUAUCGUGUGCCUGUCUCCAUAUCCAUGCUUUUUAGCUAAGAAUUGUCAUACUUUUGCUGUUCACCUACUCCAAAUUGAUGUUUGCUGAAGAUGGAACUGGUAGUGAACUAACGAAUGUAAAAAGUUCCUCGCAUUUAUUUAAACAGCUCAAUUAGUUCAAAGAUAGGAUAAUCAUGGUGAUUUGAUAUUUCCUAUGGCUGAUUACAAAUGUAUGAUCUGAUAGAAAGUUUGACAUGGCUUCUUUUUAUUUACAGGUCACAGUAUAAUGCUUUUGCAUCCACAAGUUUCAAGGAGCGUGAUCUCACUGUUCUGUGAGCUAAAAGGAUCUUCUGCGGAAUCUGUUUCUAAUUGGAUCCUGAUCAUAUUUUGCACUUAUCAAUAAUGUAUUGCAAGACAUGUGAACCCUGAAUGGCAUGCCUAUGUAUGUAUGUAGACGUGAUGUGGAUCCUUGUGCUAUUGGCUAUGCUGUAAUACUGCUUAUCAACCUAUAUAGUAUGUAUGUUUUCAUGUAGACAUGAUGGAUUGCUGAGAUACAUUUAUAUAAUGUCUAAGUGAUGCAACUCUAAUGAUUGUGCAUGUGUC